rnacentral:rRNA from 1 species
AUUGAACGCUGGCGGCAGGCCUAACACAUGCAAGUCGAACGAGUGGCGGACGGGUGCGUAAUGUCUGGGAAACUGCCUGAUGGAGGGGGAUAACUACUGGAAACGGUAGCUAAUACCGCAUACCAUCAGAUGUGCCCAGAUGGGAUUAGCUAGUUGGUGGGGUAACGGCUCACCAAGGCGACGAUCCCUAGCUGGUCUGAGAGGAUGACCAGGCACACGGGAAAGGAGAAACGGGCCAGACUCCUACGGGAGGCAGAAGUGGGGAAUAUUGCCCAAUGGGCGCAAGGCUGAUGCAGCCAGGCCGGGGGGAUGAAGAAGGCCUUCGGGUUGUAAAGGACUUUAAGCGGGGAGGCGUUACCCGCAGAAGAAGCACCGGCUAACUCCGUGCCAGCAGCCGCGGUAAUUC